CCAGGGAUGUUCUCUUGAUAACUGUGUGAAUUAGACAAUUUUUCUGUCCUGCUAAGCAUUCCAAAACGACGCUGGGCCAAACCCUCCUCUAACCCUUGACUGUGCCUGGGAUCGAACCCGGGUCUGUAGUCCCCAUGUUGGGGAGAGGAAGGAAGGACUGAGAGAGAGGAGCCAGUGAUGGUGGCCCCAGGCCUUUCCUCAUGUUGGGGAGAGGAAGGACAGAGAAAGGAGCCAGUGGUCAGAAGUUUAGUGUUUGUAUUUAACCGUGAGGCUGCAACAGGAGUUUCCCAUCACACUUUGUAUGGAUACCCUCUUCAUUAAGCAUUAUAAGCGCAUUUCUAACACACAACAUGCAUUAUAAUGCAGAACUUAGUUUAUUUUCCUGGUGCUCUUCAUAGCUGAAGUAAAUAUGUUUAUUUUGUCUCUUCUGUGAUCAAUGAGCUUAAUUCUAUGAAAGUAAUCUUCAGUGGGGACCACUGGUUAUUUGGCUGAUCAAACGGCUCAUCAAAUGUUGAACUCUUUGUGAGUAAAGAAUUAAGAAGAGACAGGAUUCAAGGGGAAACUACAGGACAAAGAGUUGAUUCAUUCAAUUAAAUUUGACCCAUUGUCAUAGAGGUGUAAAGUACAGGAUAGGAAUAUUAUAAAGAAGGGUUAGGUAGGUCUAGCCCGGAAUAAGCAUUCCACUUCCUUCCAUUAGGCCUAGCCCGGAAUAAGCAUUCCACUUCCUUCCAUUAGGCCUAGCCCGGAAUAAGCAUUCCACUUCCUUCCAUUAGGCCUAGCCCGGAAUAAGGAUUCCACUUCCUUCCAUUAGGNNNNNNNNNNACAAUACAAAACCCCCUAGACAAUACAAAACCCCUAGACAAUACAAAAACCACUAGACAAUACAAAACCCCCUAGACAAUACAAAACCCCCUAGACAAUACAAAACCCCUAGACAAUACAAAAACCACUAGACAAUACAAAAACCACUAGACAAUACAAAAACCCCUAGACAAUACAAAAACCCCUAGACAAUACAAAAAUCCCUAGACAAUACAAAAAGUAAACAAACCACCCUUGCCACACCCUGACCUAACCAGCAUAAUGAAGAAAACAGAGAUCAGGGCGUGACACCCAGCAAAAUACUACUUGAGUAAAAGUCUAAAAGUAUUUGUUUUUAAAUAUAUUUAAGUAUCAAAAGUAAAAGUAUAAAUAAUUUCAAAAUCUAUAUAUAAAGCAAACCAGACAGCAUAAUUUCUUGUUUGAUUUAAUUUACGGAUAGCCAGGUGCACACUCCAACAACACUCAGACAUUAUUUACAAACAGGGCAUGUGUUUAAUGAGUCCACCAGAUCAGAGACAGUAAGGAUGACCAGGGAUGUUCUCUUGAUAACUGUGU
rnacentral:lncRNA from 13 species